GUACUCCGCCGCCGAGCGAAUACACCACAUCAAAAGGAAAACGUACUUCCUGUCUAUCGGUUCCAUUCUGGUAGGCACUCCAGAUCUUCUUCUGCGAGGCGUCCGCCCAGUACACCCUGGAAGUCACGCGGUCAAAGUCUACGCUCACAAUGCUCGAUCCGCUAACCACUGGACUGAUGGUGGGCGGCACUGCGUUGAUCCUGUAGGCGAUGACUUGGCUACGCUUGGCUAUCAGAAGCACGGCAGCGAGAGGGUCUAAAACAGGAAGACAAACAAACAAAAGAGCAUCAUGGCACUGCUGGCUGCAAAAGCCCGGGAUGAGACACUCGUUGAUGUCGUCGCAGGUCUUGGAGUCGUUCAGCAGCUGGAAACCCGGCAGACAUUUGCACUCGGCCCCGAACGGUCCUUGAACGCAGAUGUCGCUGCAGCCGCCGUUGUUCAGUAAACAGUCGUCUUCGUCUUUGGCAAAUGACACACGAGAGAUGUAGAAUCAUUUCUAGCUCUGUCUGUCUGUUAAAUGUAUUUUUUUUCCCACAUAGAAAAUGGAUGGCCGGACAGAGUAAAGCAAAACUCACUGCAGAGAGGCGACUCAUCGGCUCCAUUGGGGCAGUCCCCGUGGCCGUCGCACACUUGAGCUUGCUGAAUGCACACCUGGUCCGUGGGACACAUCCACUGGCCGGCGGGACACUGGAACGGCGGCGUGGGACAGUUCCGCUCGUCGCUAUUGUCCCGGCAGUCAUUUUCGCCGUCGCACAACCAGGCGUUUGGGACGCAUAUCUUGUUUGCGCACUGGAAGUAGCCGGAUAAGCAGGUGACGGGCGGGCAGGAGAUGUGCUCGUCGGAUCCGUCCUCGCAGUCCGGGUGGCCGUCACAUUCCCACUGCUCCGGUACGCAGAAUCCGUCGGUUUGGCACUGGAACUCGUUGUCGUGGCACAAGCCCGGGCCUGGAGUGGCUUUGGGCACAGACAUUACGAAACUCAAUUGACUGCGCUGGCAAAUCGAUGGCGGACGACGGCAAGUCCGUCAAUCUUGCAAGACUUACGACAGCCAUACUCGUCGGAAUGGUCCCUGCAGUCAAACACUCCGUCGCAGUGAUAACUGCUGCUGAUACACUGGUCGCCGGUGGCGCAGGCGAACUGAUAGGAAGGGCAGGAGAAUUCUUUGUCGGAAGAAAAAGAAAA